rnacentral:rRNA from 1 species
CACGUAGGGCGCGAGCGUUGUCCGGAAUUAUUGGGCGUAAAGAGCUCGUAGGCGGCGCGGUAAGUCGGGUGUGAAAUCUCGGGGCUUAACUCCGAAACUGCAUUCGAUACUGCCGUGCUUGAGGACUGGAGAGGAGACUGGAAUUUACGGUGUAGAGGUGAAAUUCGUAGAUAUUCGGAAGAACACCAGUGGCGAAGGCGGCUCACUAGCCCGGUACUGACGCUGAGGUGCGAAAGCGUGGGGAGCAAACAGGG